rnacentral:rRNA from 1 species
UUCCGGUUGAUCCCGCCGGACCUGACUGCUAUCGGAUUGAUACUAAGCCAUGCGAGUCAUUGUAGCAAUACAAGGCAGACGGCUCAGUAACGCGUAGUCAACCUACCCUAUGGACGGGAAUAACCUCGGGAAACUGAGUAUAAUGCCCGAUAGAACAUUAUGCCUGGAAUGGUUUAUGUUCCAAAUGAUUUAUCGCCGUAGGAUGGGACUGCGUCCUAUCAGUUUGUUGGUGAGGUAAUGGCCCACCAAGACUAUUACAGGUACGGGCUCUGAGAGGAGUAGCCCGGAGAUGGGUACUGAGACACGGACCCAGGCCCUAUGGGGCGCAGCAGGCGAGAAAACUUUGCAAUGUGCGAAAGCACGACAAGGUUAAUCCGAGUGGUUUCUGCUAAAGGAACCUUUUGUUAGUCCUAAAAACACUAACGAAUAAGGGGUGGGCAAGUUCUGGUGUCAGCCGCCGCGGUAAAACCAGCACCUCAAGUGGUCAGGAUGAUUAUUGGGCCUAAAGCAUCCGUAGCCUGCCCUGUAAGUUUUCGGUUAAAUCUGUAUGCUCAACAUACAGGCCGCCGGGAAUACUGCAGGGCUAGGGAGUGGGAGAGGUAGACGGUACUCGGGAGGAAGUGGUAAAAUGCUUUGAUCUCUCGAUGACCACCUGUGGCGAAGGCGGUCUACCAGAACACGUCCGACGGUGAGGGAUGAAAGCUGGGGGAGCAAACCGGAUUAGAUACCCGGGUAGUCCCAGCCGUAAACUAUGCAAACUCAGUGAUGCAUUGGCUUGUGGCCAAUGCAGUGUUGCAGGGAAGCCGUUAAGUUUGCCGCCUGGGAAGUACGUACGCAAGUAUGAAACUUAAAGGAAUUGGCGGGGGAGCACCACAAGGGGUGAAGCCUGCGGUUCAAUUGGAUUCAACGCCGGG